UACGUAGGGUGCGAGCGUUGUCCGGAAUUACUGGGCGUAAAGGGCUCGUAGGCGGCCAACUAAGUCAGACGUGAAAUCCCUCAGCUUAACUGGGGAACUGCGUCUGAUACUGGAUGGCUUGGAUUCGGGAGAGGAAUGCGGAAUUCCUGGUGUAGCGGUGAAAUGCGCAGAUAUCAGGAGGAACACCGGUGGCGAAGGCGGGUCUCUGGGCCGAUACUGACGCUGAGGAGCGAAAGCGUGGGGAGCGAACAGG
rnacentral:rRNA from 1 species